UCAUGGUUAUAAUAAUUGAAUUUAACUUUUAAGUGAAAAGGCUUAAAUGGAUUAAGGGGACGAUAAGACCCUAUGUAAAGCUUGACAAUAAGUUAAUUAUAUUAUAAAUUGUUAGUAUAACUUGAUUUUAAUUGACGUUUGUUAUGCGUUGGGGCGACGAGAAUAUAAUGAGUAACUGUUUUUAAAUGUUUAAUGACAAAUAUAAUUGGUAUUUGAUUGAUGCCUUUAUUAAAGAUUAAAAGAUUAAGUUACUUUAGGGAUAACAGCGUAAUCUUCUUUGAGAGUUCAUAUCGACAAGAAGGUUUGCGACCC
rnacentral:rRNA from 1 species